rnacentral:lncRNA from 1 species
AAAAGUGAAUGCGCACCAUUGUGAGAGUGCUAACUUUUUAAUUUAACAAAAUUUUCAAUUUGUCAGUUCCUAUCCCUAUACAUGUACAGUAUACACACAUCUCUCUCUCUUUCUUUCUCUUUCAACCUUAUUUGUCCUCUUCUAAGAACCAACCUACCAACUGUUUGUUUUAUUGCUUCUUUCUAUAUUUUCAUAGAAUUCAUCAACUCUUCAAUUACUAUUUAGCUUCUUUCAAUGGUGGUGUUUGGAAAUUGGAAGUGUAUAUUCAAUGUGAUUAAUUAUUUCUUUUGAUAACUUGUGGUUCUCAGAGAAAGGAUUGAUAAUCCGGAGUCUGAUUGUCAGAUAAGUAAAGUCUGACCUAAUAUUUCGGAGUCUGGUAUUCCUGAUAAUCUGGAAUUUGGUUGUUAGAUAAGUAAAGUCUGACCUAAUAUUUCGGAGUCUGGUAUUCCUGAUAAUCCGGAGUUUGGUUGGGAGAUAAGUAAAGUCUGACCUGAUAAUCCGGAGUAUGGUAUUCCUGAUAAUCUGAAGUUUGGUUGUCAGAUAAGUAAAAUAUGACUAAUAAUUGUGUCUCGGCUAAAUAUAUUGAAAUAGUACAAGAUGUGAUAGGUUUUAAAGUUGUUAAAGAUUGAGACUGGGAAGAAAUUGAUGGUCCAAACUAUAAUUAAGCUAUGAAUUGAAAGCAUUGAGAAUCCCAAUUAAGAGGAGAGAGAUAUGAGACUAUAUAGGCUUGUAGUUGUAGCUUUCUUACUGUUAUUUGCAUUAAAUAUGAAAGAUUCUAUCUAUGAGGUUUUUAUGUGAGUGUGAGAUCUAUAAAGAGAGAUUAUUGAAGUGAUUUUAAUUUAGAUUUGCAUUGUUAUAUGAUUGCAGGUU